GUGCCAGCAGCCGCGGUAAUACGUAGGUGGCAAGCGUUAUCCGGAAUUAUUGGGCGUAAAGCGCGCGCAGGCGGUUUCUUAAGUCUGAUGUGAAAGCCCACGGCUCAACCGUGGAGGGUCAUUGGAAACUGGGGAACUUGAGUGCAGAAGAGAAAAGCGGAAUUCCACGUGUAGCGGUGAAAUGCGUAGAGAUGUGGAGGAACACCAGUGGCGAAGGCGGCUUUUUGGUCUGUAACUGACGCUGAGGCGCGAAAGCGUGGGGAGCAAACAGGAUUAGAAACCCUCGUAGUCC
rnacentral:rRNA from 1 species